rnacentral:rRNA from 1 species
UACGGAGGAUCCGAGCGUUAUCCGGAUUUAUUGGGUUUAAAGGGUGCGCAGGCGGGGGAUUAAGUCAGCGGUGAAAUUUUGCAGCUUAACUGUAACAGUGCCGUUGAUACUGGGGAGCUAGGAUUUGGUUGCUGUGGGUGGAAUGUGUGGUGUAGCGGUGAAAUGCUUAGAGAUCACACAGAAUAUCGAUUGCGAAGGCAGCUCACAAAGCCAAGAUUGACGCUGAGGCACGAAAGUGUGGGGAUCAAACAGGAUUA